CGGGCUCCGGAGUUGGCUCGGCAGCUGCGGCCAGGGGGCUGAAUCCACGGGCACGGAGUUGGCCGGGGGCGAACGGGUCUCUGGAGCUUACAGAUCAUCAAAAAGAACAUAGAAGACAGUACAGAAAGAAUUCUGGCAUUUAAAAAGUUGAAACCACUAAAAUCAACUUCCAUCUGUUUUAAACCCGGUAUCACAAACCAAGAAUCACAACUCUGAGUGUGCCACAGCUCGAUAUCAGAUGUGCAUCUAUUUCAAGGCAAUUCACAGGAGAAAAAAAAUGACAUCUACAUAU
rnacentral:lncRNA from 1 species